GGAUCUCCGCCUGUGCACAGUGCAAAGUCCAGGCCUGCCAGUAACCAGCGGGAGUUAGUUCGCUGGUCUUUGCACCACCCAGAGCUUCCACAUCGGACAAUCCAGGUGGACCUCUCCGCCAUGUCUCUGCUCCUCGAUUACGUGGAUGUGACAGACUCCAGCUUUGUGGUGGCUCUCCUCUGCAUCGCCUUUAACCCGCUCUUCUGGAAUCUGGUAGCAAGAUGGGAGCACAAGACCCGGUCGCUCACUCACAUCUUCCAUUCCCCGUACUUGGCCUGUUAUUGUCUAGGAGCUGUCAUCGUGACACUUAAUUUUCUGCGAAGUCACUGUUUCACAGAAGCUAUAAAGCAACAGCCCAAACUGAAGGCCCUGGACUGUGUCUUCGUCUACUACGCCAGUGUGGCGCUCAUGGCAAUAGGCACCGUCUUCGUAACGUCCAGCUUCCUCGCACUGGGUUUCGUUGGGACAUUCUUGGGUGACUACUUUGGUAUCCUCAAGGAGAGAAAAGUGAUGUGCUUCCCAUUCAAUGUAUUGGACAAUCCCAUGUACUGGGGCAGUACCACCAUCUACCUGGGAUGGUCCAUCAUGCAUGCAAGCCCAGCUGGCCUUGUCUUGACGGUGAUGGUGGCACUGUGCUACACAAUUGCUUUGCACUACGAAGGUCAGGAAGUUUUUCCUGGUGUCCAGCUGGAAUCUGGCUUCCUGUAACCUGAGCCGAUUAUUCCGUGUCCUGCACUCUGGGAGGAUCGAGAAGAGAUCCUGGCCCUCCUCUGUGUGACAACCUUUUAAGUAUUUGAAGAGUGCUAUCAUGUCUCCCUUCAGUCUUCUCUUCUCCAGGCUAAACAUGCCCAGUUCUUUCAGUCUCUCUUCAUUGGGCUUUGUUUCCAGACCCCUGAUCAUCCUGGUUGCUUGGAAGCCCUUCACAGAAGAAAUCUACCGUCAGAAGGCGACCAAGAGCAAAUAACGUGGGCUUCGGUUGCAGAGGCCCAAGAAGAACAGGGCAGUUGAGGAGCAGGAAAACCAUCUGCCACCGCCACGGUCAGCCCACCGGGGCAGGAUAAUCCGAUGGGAUACAAAAAAUUCAGCCUGACGUCUAAUUACACUUUCCUCAAAACCCUUCAAAAGUCCCUUUUUGAGAUGGAAGCUGGGAGGCGGGGUCAGGAAAGGAGGACUUCCAACCUUCGCAAGGACUCGGACCAACCCUAGGCAUGGGGGGGGGGGGCGGGGAGCUUUUGAUGAAGAACUUUGCUUCCCCUGUGGCUUUCAGUGGCCUCCAUUAACUGCGUUAAUCUGAACGUGUUGAUUACAUUCCUGAGAGUGUCAAAAAAGCAGAAAAGGCAGGAGGCCUCUGGAUUUUGAUGCAACCGUGCACACGCAGAGCGAGAGAAUCCAUGAAACGAUGGUUCACGUACGUCCUAUUGUGAAAGAGAACAGCCAUGAGGUCACUGGUGCGCUGAAUGUGCGCUAGCGGUUUGCUACUACCAACAUGUGGGAGGUGGUAGUGAUAUUUGGGGGCGAGGGGCACAGAUUUGGAGGCAUGGGUUGCGCAGGAAAAAAAUUCACUCGCACUUCAGCUUCUCCCGCCGUCUUCUCCCGCUGACUUAAAUGGUUCAAGAGUAUCCUUCUCAAAAAGUUUCACCCAGUGGAUCCGGUUCAACAGCUUCGUCCCUGCUGGUCUUGGUGCCGGGAAUUUAGCAUGCAUGUUUCAUAGCUUACGGCUGAAACACAUGCUCAGAAGAGUCAGACAGUGCUGCUUUUGCUGGGCUGAACCAUUCCCUACUGUGGUUUCAGCAAGUGGUGUGUUUGUUGGCCUGGCUUACAGGUUGUCUUUAUCUGGCGCCCCUAGAAGUGUCAGAGUGGCUGGUAACUGCCUUUAGUGCGCAUUCACCUUCAAUCCACGUGCAUGAACAUGAAGGCGCCAUGCCCACAAUUUCAUAGGAACCUGAGUUACACCAAAUCAUUGCUCCAUCUAGCUCACAAUUGCAUUAUCCAUAACAUACAAAAGGAAGUACUUCUUCACAGCAUGUAUAAUUAACUUUUGGAAGUGUUCCUCGACCAGCAGUCAAUGGAGAACCCAUAAAGAGGACUUGGCAUCCACCCAUGUUCCCCAGCAACUGGUGUCCACAGGUUUACUGACUCUGAUACCAAAGGUAGCAUAGAGCCAUCAGGACUAGUAGCCGUUGAUAUCGCCUUCUCCUCCAGGAAUGUUCACGGGAGAGCAGUGUAUUAGCCAUGGGAAUUAAAUGGAUCCUCCAUGUUCAGUGAUAGCUUACCUCUUAUUUGCCAGGCACUGGGGGACCAGAAACAGGAAAGGGCGGUUGUCGUCCUGCCCUGUUUCCCAGAAGUGAAGGAUCUGGCUGAACACUGUUGGAGACAGGAAACCUAGGCGAGAUUUUUUUUAGUCUGCUCUAACGGGAUGCUUCAUGAAAACAGAUUCCGGAUUUCAGUGCUGGGCAAACAUCUCAUGCAGCCAAACUGGAGACCUCUUUCUUUCAGUGUAACCCCUUUGCCAUUUUGUGCAGCCGCCGUUCCUAGCUUUCUCUCCUCCAUCUCAGGCUUCUAAUGCCAGCAAAAGACUCUUCCUCCCACUUACACACACACACACACACACACACACACACACACACAAAUCUUCCUUAAAAAUAAAUAAAUAGCAGCAACAA